UUAUAUGAGAGUUUGAUCCUGGCUCAGGAUGAACGCUGGCGGCGUGCUUAACACAUGCA
rnacentral:rRNA from 1 species